AUCGCUUCUCGGCCUGUUGGCUAAGAUCAAGUAUAGUAUCUGUUCUUCCCAGUUUAAUAAUGGAUCACGGCAGUGUUUCCUACUGAGAGCAGAGACAGUCAUGGGACCUUUC
ensembl:snRNA U2 U2 spliceosomal RNA